UACGGAGGGUGCAAGCGUUAAUCGGAAUUACUGGGCGUAAAGCGUGCGCAGGCGGUUUGUUAAGUCCGCUGUGAAAUCCCCGAGCUCAACUUGGGAAUUGCAGUGGAUACUGGCAAGCUGGAGUAUGGUAGAGGAAGGUGGAAUUCCCGGUGUAGCAGUGAAAUGCGUAGAGAUCGGGAGGAACACCAGUGGCGAAGGCGGCCUUCUGGACCAAUA
rnacentral:rRNA from 1 species